rnacentral:rRNA from 1 species
UACGAAGGGGGCUAGCGUUGCUCGGAAUUACUGGGCGUAAAGCGCGCGCAGGCGGUUCUUCCAGUCAGUGGUGAAAGCCCGGAGCUCAACUCCGGAACUGCCAUUGAAACUGUAGAACUUGAGGAUGAGAGAGGUGAGUGGAAUUCCCAGUGUAGAGGUGAAAUUCGUAGAUAUUCGCAAGAACACCAGUGGCGAAGGCGGCUCACUGGCCCGGUACUGACGCUGAGGUGCGAAAGCGUGGGGAGCAAACAGG